UCUGGUUGAUCCUGCCAGAGGUUACUGCUAUCGAGGUUCGACUAAGCCAUGCGAGUCGAAUGUAGCAAUACAUGGCGAACUGCUCAGUAACACGUGGACAACCUGCCCUUAGGUUGGGUAUAAACCCGGGAAACUGGGUAUAAUCCCCUAUAAGUCUCGGCUGCUGGAAUGCACCGAGAUUAAAAGCUCCGGCGCCUAAGGAUGGGUCUGCGGCCUAUCAGGUAGUAGUGGGUGUAGCGUACCUACUAGCCUACGACGGGUACGGGUUGUGAGAGCAAGAGCCCGGAGAUGGAUUCUGAGACACGAAUCCAGGCCCUACGGGGUGCAGCAGGCGCGAAAACUUUACAAUGCUGGCAACAGCGAUAAGGGAACCUCGAGUGCCAGGUUACAAAUCUGGCUGUCGAGAUGCCUAAAAAGCAUUUCAUAGCAAGGGCCGGGCAAGACCGGUGCCAGCCGCCGCGGUAACACCGGCGGCUCGAGUGGUAACCGUUAUUAUUGGGUCUAAAGGGUCUGUAGCCGGCCGGAUAAGUCUCUUGAGAAAUCUGGCAGCUUAACUGUCAGGCUUUCAGGAGAUACUGUCUGGCUCGAGGCCGGGAGAGGUGAGAGGUACUUCAGGGGUAGGGGUGAAAUCUUGUAAUCCUUGAAGGACCACCAGUGGCGAAGGCGUCUCACCAGAACGGACCUGACGGCAAGGGACGAAAGCUAGGGGCACGAACCGGAUUAGAUACCCGGGUAGUCCUAGCCGUAAACGAUACUCGCUAGGUGUCGGCCACGGUGCGACCGUUGUCGGUGCCGUAGGGAAGCCGUGAAGCGAGCCACCUGGGAAGUACGGCCGCAAGGCUGAAACUUAAAAGGAAUUGGCGGGGGAGCACCACAACGGGUGGAGCUUGCGGUUUAAUUGGAUUCAACGCCGGA
rnacentral:rRNA from 1 species